rnacentral:rRNA from 1 species
UACAGAGGGUGCGAGCGUUAAUCGGAAUUACUGGGCGUAAAGCGUGCGUAGACGGUUAUUUAAGUCGGAUGUGAAAGCCCCGGGCUCAACCUGGGAAUUGCAUUCGAGACUGAAUAGCUAGGGUGCGGUAGAGGGAAGCGGAAUUUCCGGUGUAGCGGUGAAAUGCGUAGAUAUCGGAAGAACAUCAGUGGCGAAAGCGGCUUCCUGGACCAGCACCGACGUUCAGGCACGAAAGCGUGGGGAGCAAACCAGG